rnacentral:rRNA from 1 species
GAUGAACGCUGGCGGCGUGCCUAAUACAUGCAAGUCGAGCGAACAGACGAGGAGCUUGCUCCUCUGACGUUAGCGGCGGACGGGUGAGUAACACGUGGAUAACCUACCUAUAAGACUGGGAUAACUUCGGGAAACCGGAGCUAAUACCGGAUAAUAUAUUGAACCGCAUGGUUCAAUAGUGAAAGACGGUUUUGCUGUCACUUAUAGAUGGAUCCGCGCCGCAUUAGCUAGUUGGUAAGGUAACGGCUUACCAAGGCAACGAUGCGUAGCCGACCUGAGAGGGUGAACCGCCAAAACGGAACUGAGACAAGGGCCAGAAUCCUAAGGGAGGCAACAGGAGGGAAACUUUCGCAAUGGGCGAAAGCCUGAAGGAGCAACGCCGCGUGAGUGAUGAAGGGCUUCGGAUCGUAAAAAUCUGUUAUUAGGGAAGAACAAAUGUGUAAGUAACUAUGCACGUCUUGACGGUACCUAAUCAGAAAGCCACGGCUAACUACGUG